rnacentral:rRNA from 1 species
UACGUAGGGGGCGAGCGUUGUCCGAAGUUACUGGGCGUAAAGCGCGCGUAGGCGGGUCUUUAAGUGAGGGGUGAAAGGUUCGGGCUCAACCCGGACACUGCCUUUCAUACUGGGGAUCUUGAGUGCGGGAGGGGCGAGUGGAAUGGUCGGUGUAGCGGUGAAAUGCGUAGAUAUCAGGAGGAACACCGAUUGCGAAGGCAGCUCGCUGGGACGUUACUGACGCUGAGACGCGAAAGCGUGGGGAGCAAACAGG